rnacentral:rRNA from 1 species
AAACUUUACACUGCGGGAAACCGCGAUAAGGGGACCCCGAGUGCCAGCACCUAGUGUUGGCUGUCCUACUGUCUAAAUAACAGUGGUUAGCAAGGGCCGGGCAAGACCGGUGCCAGCCGCCGCGGUAACACCGGCGGCCCGAGUGGUAACCGUCUUUAUUGGGUCCGACGGUGAGGGACGAAAGCUGGGGGCACGAACCGGAUU